AAUCCGUGUUGUGGACACUUCCACGAUAGGUCCUUGAAUCACUCCCAUGUCUCAAACAAGGACGCAAGCUCCAUUUGAACAAACAACGAUAUCUCAUUACGAAGCUU